AUGCCUCCCGACCUCUCCGCAGUUCUCCACCAGCCGGGGCUUCUGGGUGAGGUGCCCUUUCAAAGGGCAACGCUUCCAAGCCUGGAAGAUGACCGUCCAGCCAGCAGCCUCUCAGGGCCACCUCCGGGUCACCUUCUUCUCGCCCGAGGCCGCCCACUUCCAGGUGUACCUGUGUCAGCAGAGGAAGACGUGGCCCCCUGCCUGCCGCCCCGCACUCUGGGCCACGGCCCUCCCUCCAGCCUCAGUGAGCUGGCCUGGGCGGGGGCUGACCCCUGGGGUCUCCUGCAGGCCUCGACCUCCCACAAAGCCCUGAGUCAGGCCCUGGAGGCCCCCUGGGGUGCAGGGGUGCAGAGGGCCAGUCCUCCCCCCGCUGCUGGUGACCUGCCCCCUCCUCACCAGGGUGACUUCAUGGCAGGCCCUGCGGUCGCCUUCGUAGACGUUCCCAGGGACGAGGCUUGUGUUCCCAACACCUGCAUCCAGGUGGGUGGUGCUGCCCUGCUCAGCCCUGCCCACCCACUGCAGCCCCAGACCUGUUUCCCAUCAUGAAGCCCCUGGGAUCUCCUCCCCCAGAGCUUGGUGACCUGCCCCCUCCUCACCAGGGUGACUUCAUGGCAGGCCCUGCGGUCGCCUUCGUAGACGUUCCCAGGGACGAGGCUUGUGUUCCCAACACCUGCAUCCAGGUGGGUGGUGCUGCCCUGCUCAGCCCUGCCCACCCACUGCAGCCCCAGACCUGUUUCCCAUCAUGAAGCCCCUGGGAUCUCCUCCCCCAGAGCUCCUGGGGGUGCCCUGUCUCUCAGGGGAUGCUGGGGGGGGGGGGGGGGGGGAACCCCNGGGGGGGGGGGGGAGGAGGGCAACACCAGCUGGUGUUGACUGAGCCGACCCGCCUACAGGGCCGGAGGACCGACAUGCUCUUCUCUGCCCCCCAGCAGCUGUGUGACCUUUGGUGCCGUGAGUGACCCCACUGGGCCCCGGGCCCCAGGGGUGCGGGGGGAGUGAACACCCACGGGCUGAGCCUGGAGCCUGUCUCCCAUUCUGAGGAUGGCGUGUGGGCACCACACGGGAGACUGGGCAUUGCUGGGGGACGGAGGGCCAUUUGCCCUGAAGCCAGGCCUGGCUUCGGAGCCAGGGUGAAGGCAGCCGCAUAGAAGGCAGGGGCCUGGCCCCACCCCUGCCUUGGGACAUCAAGGACCCUGGAGGCCCAUCCCCAGCACCCACAGCCUGUGUCGCUGCACCAGGGGAACCGCUUCCUCCUCCCUGAGUGCCCACCACCCCUGACUGGGGCUCUGGUGCCAAGUGUCCAGGAACCCUGGAUAUCCCUCAGCCCACCUUCACCCACCCAAGCCACCGAUGCCCAGACUGCUGGGAGCUCAGGCUUAGGAGACCAGGCUGACCCUGUGGGUCCUGGGUGUGGCUCGGGUGGCCUUGCCUGGGGGUCCUGAGAAGGGCCGUGGGAUGUAGGUGGGGAGCAGACAUCACCCAUGCAGCUGCUGCGGGGACAGGGCACUGAGGGAGCCCUGGAGGCAAGAGGGGACGGGAAGGGGGGCUC
rnacentral:lncRNA from 1 species